UACGUAGGGUGCAAGCGUUAAUCGGAAUUACUGGGCGUAAAGCGUGCGCAGGCGGUUUUGUAAGUCAGAUGUGAAAUCCCCGGGCUUAACCUGGGAACUGCGUUUGAAACUACAAGGCUAGAGUGUGACAGAGGGGGGUGGAAUUCCACGUGUAGCAGUGAAAUGCGUAGAGAUGUGGAGGAACACCGAUGGCGAAGGCAGCCCCCUGGGAUAACACUGACGCUCAUGCACGAAGCGUGGGAGCAAACAGG
rnacentral:rRNA from 1 species